UGGGCAGGCCGGAUGAUCGCUCUCAGCAAUGGGGGAGGAAAGUCCGAGCUCCAUAGAGCAGCGUAGCGGGUAACGCCCGUCGUCCGUAAGGGCAGGAUAAGAGCCACAGUGACGAACAAUCCCAGACGGAAGGCCUGACGGCCUUAACGCCGGGAAGAAGUGAAACGCGGCAAUCUCUACGCGGAGCAAGGCCAAAUAGGUGCAUCUACCGGGGUUGCUCGCCCCGAUUCCCGAAAGGGGGGAUGCACGGGUUGGCUGCUUGAGCCCCGAAGCAAUUCGGGGCCUAGAUGGAUGAUCAUCCCCCCAGCGUAUUGAUUUGCUUCUGUUCAAGAGAACGAAGCAAAUCAGCAGGGGGUACAGAACUCGGCUUAUAGGCCUGCCCGAAUU
rnacentral:RNase_P_RNA from 4 species